AGAGUUCAUCAGAACAUCUUACUUUAUUUUAAUGUAUACAUAUCUGUGAUGAAAUAUACUUUUUUAACAUAAUACUUUUUUGUAAUAGUAUAAUAGUAUUUCUGUGGUUCACUAAUGUUCUGCCUAGACUAGCUAAAGAUGCUUCAGUUGUGUUUUUGAUUAAUGGAACAAUAAAGCACUUAUUUCUUUCCAUAAAAUAAACAUACAGAAUGCUUCUUAGAAUUCUAACAUUAUUUUUGUCCUGAGUUUUUUUUAAUGUGAGCCUUGACUAUGUUACUAAUUCCAUAAAAAAAAAAAAAAUCUUGAUUCCUGUUUCAUAAUGUCACAUUACUACAUGUGACAGGCUCACUUUUAACUACAAGUCACUUCCUGUAAACAUCCUGAAAAUGUCUGGCCUUUGCCCUUUUUUUUGGGAUUUCCUACUGUACAAAUGGCAGCUUAGAGCAAUGCAUCGACCUUGAUUGCAGAAGAGCGGAAACUGACAUCUGAUGUUUUGUUUUUCGUUUCAGCAACAAGCAGCUGCAAGGAGGUAUAAUGGUCACAGUGGAAGACAUCUGCACUAAAUUAUCUUUAUAGGGCUGCACAAACAAAUGGUGCGAUGGAUCGCGUACAGACCAAUAGGGUGUCGGAAUGGAAUAUGUUUAUACUUCUCAUCCAAUCACAAUCAAAUUCACCUCAUCUGGACGGCGCGAUUUAUCUGGGUAGUUUUUUUUUUCAGUAACGAAGCUAUUUUUAAAAUGUAAGGAGUAGAAAGUACAGAUAAUUGUGUGAAAAUGUAAGCAGUAGAAGUAAGAGUCGGCUGAAAAAUAAUUACUCCAGAAAGUAUAGAGACCCCAAAUUUCUACUUAAGGUAACAAAAUAUUUGUACUUCGUUACUUGAAACCUCUGGUAAACACUUGCAUUUUAGUGUCCCAUCAGGUAAUGAAAAGUUAGACACACACUUGUGGUCUUCAUCCUCACUUGAACACUUGGGUCAAAUACAGGAAAUACGUCAAAGAAGUAGUUAAGUGCAAAGACCACAAGUGUGGAUAUUUGGACAAGGCUUAAGUGCAU
rnacentral:lncRNA from 1 species